AAUCAACGCUGGCGGCGUGCCUAACACAUGCAAGUCGAGCGGGAAAGGGGGCUUCGGUCCCUGAGUAUAGCGGCGGACGGGUGAGUAACACGUGGGUAAUUUGCCCUUGGGUGUGGAAUAACUCAGGGAAACUUGAGCUAAUACCGCAUGACAUCCCCUUCUCACAGGAGUUGGGGAUCAAAGCCGGGGACCCUUCGGGGCCUGGCGCCUGAGGAGAAGCCCGCGCCCGAUUAGCUAGUUGGGAGU
rnacentral:rRNA from 1 species